UCGUCACAACGGCUUCCUGGCGUGACGGCAAAGCAUGAAUGGAGCA
rnacentral:ncRNA from 1 species